CCUACGGGAGGCUGCAGUGGGGAAUAUUGCACAAUGGGGGAAACCCUGAUGCAGCGACGCCGCGUGAGUGAAGAAGUAUCUCGGUACGUAAAGCUCUAUCAGCCGGGAAGAAAAUGCCGGUACCUGACUAAGAAGCCCCGGCUAACUACGUGCCAGCAGCCGCUGUAAUCCGUAGGGGGCAAGCGUUAUCCGGAUUUACUGGGUGUAAAGGGAGCGUAGACGGCAGCACAAGUCUGGAGUGAAAUCCCGGGGCUUAACCCCGGCACUGCUUUGGAAACCGUGCGGCUGGAGUGCAGGAGGGGUAAGCGGAAUUCCUAGUGUAGCGGUGAAAUGCGUAGAUAUUAGGAGGAACACCGGUGGCGAAGGCGGGUGACUGGACUGUAACUGACGUUGAGGCUCGAAAGCGUGGGGAGCAAACAGGAUUAGAUACCCCAGUAGUC
rnacentral:rRNA from 1 species